rnacentral:tRNA from 1 species
AGUUACUUUGGCAGAUUAGUGCAAUUGAUUUAGAAUCUUUAAAUGUUAAUUUUAACAGGUAAUA